AAAUUUCACAUGUGUGAAGAAGUUAUAAAUCUAUUGCCAAUAUAUAUUGGCAAUAGAUUUAUAACUUCUUCACACAUGUGAAAUUU